UUUUGGACAAUGGGCGAAAGCCUGAUCCAGCAAUGCCGCGUGUGGGAAGAAGGCCUUCGGGUUGUAAACCACUUUUGUACGGACCGACAAGGUCUGCCCUAAUACGGUGGGCCCAUGACGGUACCGUAAGAAUAAGCACCGGCUAACUACGUGCCAGCAGCCGCGGUAAUACGUAGGGUGCGAGCGUUAAUCGGAAUUACUGGGCGUAAAGCGUGCGCAGGCGGUUAUAUAAGACAGUUGUGAAAUCCCCGGGCUCAACCUGGGAAUUGCAUCUGUGACUGUAUAGCUAGAGUACGGUAGAGGGGGAUGGAAUUCCGCGUGUAGCAGUGAAAUGCGUAGAUAUGCGGAGGAACACCGAUGGCGAAGGCAAUCCCCGGAUCCUAUACUACGCUCAUGCAGAG
rnacentral:rRNA from 1 species